GAUCUAUGAUGAGUUUUAGUAUGGAUCUGACAACAAAGUUGAUGUCUUUCACUACUUCAGCUCUAGAAUUACUCUGAGAUCUG
rnacentral:snoRNA from 1 species